CAUGUCUGAAGCCAAAACACGAGGACUAGACAUAUUACCACAGGAACCUUCUCAUGCAGUGCUAACGAUCCACAGACUUCUCCCCAAGUCCCUGAGCGUGUUCCCUGCCUUCUAGCUGUUCUUGUGCAGGUGGUUGCAGAGUGGAAGUACGGCUGCUGAAGUUUCCAGUGACGAUGACGAGACCCAGGGCGCUGCCAGCAAAACCAGCAAAACGGAAGAAGUACGAUGCUCCUGCCCCAAAAGCCAAGCGGAGAAAGAAAAGCGCUGAACAAGAGGCAGCUUCCACAGUUUCCUCCAUUUCCACUGCUUCCUCCAUUUCCACAGCUUCCUCCAUUUCCACAGCUUCCUCCAUUUCCACUGCUUCCUCCAUUUCCACAGCUUCCACCAUUUCCACUGCUUCCACCACAGAUGCAGAUGGGUCGGACUCUGACUCUGGAAGAAAAUUGCCUUGGAACUGAUCAAGAGAUGGCAGGAAGUGAACUUUGC